AUACGGAGGAUGCGAGCGUUAUCCGGAUUUAUUGGGUUUAAAGGGAGCGUAGGUGGGAUAUUAAGUCAGCUGUGAAAGUUUGGGGCUCAACCUUAAAAUUGCAGUUGAUACUGGUUUCCUUGAGUACGGUACAGGUGGGCGGAAUUCGUGGUGUAGCGGUGAAAUGCUUAGAUAUCACGAAGAACUCCGAUCGCGAAGGCAGCUCACCGGGCCGGAACUGACACUGAUGCUCGAAAGUGCGGGUAUCAAACAGGAUUAGAUACCCUGGUAGUCCGCACAGUAAACGAUGAAUACUCGCUGUUUGCGAUACACGGUAAGCGGCCAAGCGAAAGCGUUAAGUAUUCCACCUGGGGAGUACGCCGGCAACGGUGAAACUCAAAGGAAUUGACUGGG
rnacentral:rRNA from 1 species